rnacentral:rRNA from 1 species
GUGGGGAGUAUUGCGCAAUGGGCGAAAGCCUGACGCAGCGACGCCGCGUGGGGGAUGACGGCCUUCGGGUUGUAAACCUCUUUCAGCAGGGACGAAGCGGAAGUGACGGUACCUGCAGAAGAAGCACCGGCCAACUACGUGCCAGCAGCCGCGGUAAUACGUAGGGUGCAAGCGUUGUCCGGAAUUAUUGGGCGUAAAGAGCUCGUAGGCGGUCUGUCACGUCGGCUGUGAAAUCCCGAGGCUCAACCUCGGGUCUGCAGUCGAUACGGGCAAACUAGAGUGUUGCAGGGGAGACUGGAAUUCCUGGUGUAGCGGUGAAAUGCGCAGAUAUCAGGAGGAACACCGGUGGCGAAGGCGGGUCUCUGGGCAACAACUGACGCUGAGGAGCGAAAGCGUGGGGAGCGAACAGG